rnacentral:rRNA from 1 species
UACGGAGGGUGCAAGCGUUAUCCGGAUUCACUGGGUUUAAAGGGUGCGUAGGUGGGUUGGUAAGUCAGUGGUGAAAUCUCCGAGCUUAACUUGGAAACUGCCAUUGAUACUAUCAGUCUUGAAUAUUGUGGAGGUCAGCGGAAUAUGUCAUGUAGCGGUGAAAUGCUUAGAUAUGACAUAGAACACCAAUUGCGAAGGCAGCUCGCUACACAUAUAUUGACUCUGAGGCACGAAAGCGUGGGGAUCAAACAGG